UUUUUAGUUGUUUGGUGAUGUUUAGCAUGGAAAACAAGCAAGAAAUUUCAUGCCCUUCACCCACACCCAUUGGCUGAAUUUUUCAAGAGAGAAAUUGGAAAAUGGACUUUGAUGAAUUUCAUGCUAUUUAGGUAUUUUUAGUUGUUUUAUGAUGUAAAGUGUAAAAAUCAAGCAUGAAAAACCACAUAUUAUUCAUGAACCCUCCAUGGCCGAAUUUUUUCAAGAGAAAAUGUUGAGGAUGAUUUUGCUAUAAUUCAUGUUAUCUAGCUUAUAUUUGAUGAUUUGGAGCAUUGGAACUGAAAUGAAUUUAUUUGGAG
rnacentral:lncRNA from 1 species